CUUCCUGCGCCCACCCCCACCCGCAGGAAUGCCACAUGGCCUCCGAAGUGGAGCGGUGGGAGCCCGGCUUCGGGAGAGUCCGCUCGGGGGCAGGAAGUGGCCCGUUCCUCCUCUCGCGGAGCGUUUCCGGAGCGCCUACUGUGUGCUCCAGGCUGGGAGUGGGGGCCGUUUGCCGAGGGGAGAAGUAAUGCAAAGCCUGACGUUCGUGAGACCGCUGCCUCCAGCACGUCUCCCGCCGGCGGUGUGAUGGCUCCCAUCGCACCGGGAGGAAACUGAGGCCCAGUGAGCCGGGGCGUUUACCCCAGCUGGUGAGGACCGGGCUCUGCGCGCGACGCCUCAGCGGCCGCUAGACUCGGGUAGAAGGCUGCCUCGGACACAGCCCCAAAGCACGCAGCUCCUGGGUCUAGACACAAGUGGCGGCCUGAGCACUGUUCCUUCUGGUGGAAGAUUGCAGACUACUACAUACCCCUGACCAGGAGCUGACUUCUUACAGCACCUCUGGUACCUCUGUACAGCAGGAUGUUGUAAUGGGGUAAGUCUCCUGUCCCAGGAGAGAUUGAUCUGUUGGGAAGAGCCUGUUAAUUUCAGAGACUCUUCUACAUGUGGUUCCCUCUAGUGCCCUGCCCUCAUCAUGCUACUUCAGGGAACAUCUUGUCCUGCUCCUUCUGGGCCUUCGCACAGAUUUCUCAGUGCAGUUGCUGAGCCUUAAGGGAUUUCCUUGUUCCCAGGUACUGAUUGGUGCCUGCCCUCCUGCAGGAGUGUCCCAGCGUGUCCUCACCACCCAGCGUAGGGGGAGCCCCCUUCCUCUCCAUCUCUGCCAGUGUUCAGUAUUUUCCCUCUCAUGUUUGGCAAUCUGAUGAGUAUAAAGUGGCCUGUUUCUGAUUUGCUUUCUGAACACCAGUGAAGUCAUUCUGUUGUACUUGUUAGUCGAAAUUUCCCUUUUGUGAAUCUCCUAUUUACAAAUGCUUUGCCUGUUUGCCCAUUUGAUUCUCUAACUUUUUCUUGGAAUGAGUUAGGUAUUAAUUCCUUGAUUCAUUUUAAUACAGUAAAAAUUCACCCUUUUAAAAAAAAAUGAGUCUUUUUUUUUUUUUUUUUUUUUUUUUAAAGAUCUUAUUUACCCAUUUGACAGACAGAGAUCACAAGAGAGGCAGAGAGGCAGGCAGAGAGAGAGGAGGAAGCAGGCUCCCGGCCGAGCAGAGAGCCCGAUGCGGGGCUCGAUCCCAGGACCCUGGGAUCAUGACCCAAGCCGAAGGCAGCGGCUUAACCACUGAGCCACCCAGGCGCCCCGAAAAAAAAAAUGAGUCUUAACAAACAUAUAUGACUAUGGAAUCACCACCACAGUCAUGAUGCAGAAUGGUUUCGUCACCCCACAGAAUUCCGUCAUGCCCCUAUUCAGUCUCUCUUCCUACCCUGUGGCCCUGGCAGAUACUAAGCUAUUUUCUGUCCUAAGUUUUGCUAUAUUCAGACUAUCAUAUAAAUGGGAUCAUAUAGUAUAUAGCCUUUGAGUUUGCCUCUUUCUUUUAGCAGAAUGUAAUUGAGACUCAUCCACCUUGUGUGUAUAUUGGUAGGCCCUCAGUUCCUUCUUACGAAUGAAGAGCAUUCCAUUGGGUGAAUAUACUACAUUUUGUUUAACCAUUUAUCAUGUGAAAGAUACUUGAAUUGUUUGUAGAUUUGUAAGUUUGUUUCUGAUGACUUGAUAGUUUUGAGGAGUACUGGUUAGGCAUUCUGUAGAAUGCUUUAGAAUCAUGUCUCAUUUCUUGAACAUUAUGCCUUGAGUUUGGAGGACAUUCCAUUGGGAUACUCAGGGGCUCAGGGACAUACUUCCCAGAGCCAAUGACACUGUUGUCUGCAAUGGAGGUCUCACAGGUUUUUGUUUUUUUAAGAGACUUUAUUUAUUUAUUAGAGAGAGAGAAAACACAGGCAGUGGAGAGGGAGACACAGGCUGCCCAUCGAGCAGGGAGCCCGAUGUGGGGCUUGAUCCCAGAACCCUGGGAUCAUGACCUGAGCCAAAGGCGGACACUUAACCAACUGAGCCACCCAGGCGCCCCUCACGGGUUUUAACCGUCAUUAAAACUACCUUUACUGACUCUGUUUCUCCCCCUUCCCCCAUACAACCUCUCUGUCUCUGUCUCUCUCUUUCUUUCCUGUUUUCUUUGUUGUUUGUUUUCAGACCCCAUUUUGAUUUUAGUUCUUGUCCAGACUAUUUCCCAUUGCUGGCAGCAGUGAUUGGCAAUUGGUUUUAUGGCCUGUUUGUUGAUCUCUUAACAGGGCAGUGGGGAUCUGUUCUCUCUCCAGGGGGAAAUGUGGGCAACUCUGAUUUGUUAGUUUCCUUGUUGUUGUUUUUACAGUUUGCUUGCCUAUUUGCAAGCUUAAAUCAAUUAAGAAAACAUUGAGAGAAUUAAGAAAGCAUCAAAAGCAGAACAGCCCAUUGAGGCUAGUGGGUUUUGGUGUUUCUUGGUUUAUUUUGGCACAUGGCUGUGGUUGUAGAACUGAAGCUGAACAUCUGCAGUAUGUCUGGAGGAGUCUAAAAUAUUGUCCUACUUUGUAGUGUGUUAAAUAAUAAGUUAGAUUGUAAUAGGUCAUAAAUUUAAGGUUUGUUUUGAUUGGUUUAUCAGACCUCAUGGGGCAUAUAUAAAUAGAAGGAAACAAAAAGUUUACAGGAAAUGAAGAGAUAGGAAGUUCUAAUAGUUUCAGCAUACUAGCCUUUAAAAAAGAAAAAAUGAGUUUACAUAAACGAGUUUAGGAAGAUAUUUUUGAAUAGUUACUAUUUGUUUUAACAGCUUUAUUGUUACAUAAUUUACAUUCUGGAAAUGCACCCAUUUAAAGUGUUCAAUUCAGUUAAUUUUUGCAUAUUUAAAGAGUCAUGUAACCAUCAGCAUAAUCAGCUUCACUCCCCAUCUGUGCCCUCCCUACCCCAGCUGUCAGCCAACACCGAUAUACCUCAUUCUUUCUAGAUUGGCCCAUUGGGGACAUUUCUUGUAAAUAGAAUCAUGCAAUAUGUGGUCUUUUGUUAAGGACUUCUUCGACUUAGCCUAGUGUUUUUUUUUUUUUUUUUUUUUUAAAUUUAUUUUUUUAAGAUUUACUUAUUGGACAGAGAGAGAUCACAAGCACGCAGAGAGGCAGGCAGAGAAAGAGGGGGAAGCAGGCUCUCCGCCUAGCAGAGAGCCAGGGCUCAGUCCCAGGACCCCAAGACCACAACCCGAUCCAAAGGCAGAGGCUUAACCCACUGAGCUACCCAGGCGCCCCUAGUCUCGUGUUUUUGAGGAGUAUCCAUGUUGUAACAUGAGUCAGUACUUCAUUCUUCUGUGCUGAAUAACCUUCUGGUGCAUGGAGAGGCCAUGUUUACUUCUCUGUUCAGGAGUUGAUGGACACUGGGGUUGUGUCUAUAUUUUUUGGCUCUUUUGAAUAAUGCUGCUGUGAGCAUUUGUGUAGAACUUUUUCCGUGGAUGUAUGUUUUCAUUUUCUGGGGGGGUCUACCUAGGAGUAGAAUUGCUGAGUCAUAUGGUAACUGUUUAGCCUUUUGAGGAACUGCUGGACUCUUUUCCGAGGUGGCUGCACCAUUUUACAUUUCCAACCAUAGUGUGUGAGGGUUCUAAUUUCUCUACAUCUUUCCCAACCUUGUUAUUUUCUGGGUUUUAAAAAUUAUUAUUAUUAUUAUUAUUUAUUAAUUUCCUUAAUGCCUAAUGAGUUGAACAUCUGUGUUUGCCUAUCUUUGGAGAAAUGUCAGUUCCUAUUCUUUGUCCAUUUUUAAAUUGGUUAUCUUUUUAUUAUUGAGUUGUGAGGGUUCUUUAUAUAGAGGUUUCUAAUCAGAUAUUAUUUGCAAAUAUUUUGUUUAUUUGUGCUUUCUUUCUUUUUCUUUUCUUUUUAGUUAUUUAUUUAUUUAAAGUAAUCUCUACACUCCACAUGGGACCCAAACUCAGGAUUCUUGAGAGUCACAUGCUCUUGCAACUGAGCCAGCCAUCUGACCUUGUUUCACUUUCUUGAUAUGAAUUACUCUAUUUACAUUUUCGCUUAUUUCUAGUACUUCCCCAGAAAAAUAUCCCACCUGUGGAUUUUCAAAUUUCUUGCAUUCUCUCUCUUUUUCUCUCUCUCUCUCUCUCUUUUUUUUUAAGAUUCAUUUAUUUGUUUUCGAGAAAGUGAACACACACAAGUGGGAAGGGUUAAGGGGAGAGGGAGAGAAAAUCUUUAGCAGAUUCUGCAUUGAGCACAAAGCCCAGUGCCGGACUUGAUGUUAUGACCCUGAGAUCAUGACCUGAGUUGAAAUCAAGAGUCAGAUGCUCAACUGACUGAGCCACCCACUCGCCCCUUGAGUUCCCUUUCUACCCUUUUAGUUACUUAAUUAAAACUUUAUACUUAGUUAACAGUUAUUUGUAUUAAAUUAUCUCUGUUGAAGUAAACAGUGUGGUUUCUGACCCUGAUCACAUCCCGAUACAAAUGGUAUUCUUUUGUAUCUUUUUUUUUUUUUUUUUUGACAUUAUGUUUGUGAGGUUUAUCCAUGUUGAUGCCUGUAGCUGUAGUUCAUCUCCA